ACACAGGUAGACACACCUCCAUCAGGAAUUUGACACUUAAUUUUUUUUAUUUUUUAUUUUACCUUUAUUUAACCAGGCAAGUAAUUUAAGAACACAUUCUUAUUUUCAAUGACGGCCUAGGAACAGUGGGUUAACUGCCUGUUCAGGGGCAGAAUGACAGAUUUGUACAUUGUCAGCUCGGGGGUUUGAACUCGCAACCUUCCGGUUACUAGUCCAAAGCUCUAACCACUAGGCUACCCUGCCGCCCUGUACAACUUGCUGAAUGAUGAUUCUAUAGGUUCUAUAUGUCAGAGUCUACAGUUCAAAUUAAAGUUUAUUUGUCACGUAUACAACAGGUGUAGUAGACCUUACAGUGAAAUGCUGAAUACAACAGGUGUAGUAGACCUUACAGUGAAAUGCUGAAUACAACAGGUGUAGUAGACCUUACAGUGAAAUGCUGAAUACAACAGGUGUAGUAGACCUAACAGUGAAAUGCUGAAUACAACAGGUGUAGUAGACCUUACAGUGAAAUGCUGAAUACAACAGGUGUAGUAGACCUUACAGUGAAAUGCUGAAUACAACAGGUGUAGUAGACCUUACAGUGAAAUGCUGAAUACAACAGGUGUAGUAGACCUUACAGUGAAAUGCUGAAUACAACAGGUGUAGUAGACCUUACAGUGAAAUGCUGAAUACAACAGGUGUAGUAGACCUUAUAGUGAAAUGCUGAAUACAACAGGUGUAGUAGACCUUACAGUGAAAUGCUGAAUACAACAGGUGUAGUAGACCUUACAGUGAAA